GGGAUCNNNNNNUUNCAUACUAGGGCGAUUGAUUAGCGGCCGCGAAUCGCCCUUUACUGGAUGAUUCUGCCAGCAGUCAUAUGCUUGUCUCAUAGAUUAACCCAUGCAUGUCUAAGUAUAAGCAACUUUGUACUGUGAAACUGCGAAUGGCUCAUUAAAUCAUUUAUAGUUUAUUUGAUGGUUUUUGCUACAUGGAUAACUGUGGUAAUUCUAGAGCUAAUACAUGCAUUCUAGCCCCAACUUCUGGAAAGGAUGUAUUUAUUAGAUAAAAAUCAACUUUGUUGAUGAAUCAUAAUAACUUCUCGGACCGCAUGGCCACAUGCUGGCAGUGCUUCAUUCAAAUAUCUGCCCUAUCAACUGUCCAUGGAAAGAUAGAGGCCUACCAUGGUUGCUACUGGCAACGAGUAAUAAUGGUUCGAUUCCGGAGAGGGAUCCUGAGAAACGGCUACCACAUCCAACGAAGGCAGCUAGCUCGCAAAUUACCCACUCCCACCACGGCGAAGUAGUGACAAUAUGUAACACUAUACGGUCUUAUACGUCAUAUAAUUGCAAUGAUUACAAUUUAAAUCACUUAUCGAUCAACAAUUGCAUGGCAAGUCUGGAGCCGGCAACCUUCCUCAUUCCAACUCCAAUAGCGUAUAUUACACUUGUUGCAGUUAAGAACCUCCUACUUGGACCUUGAACCUGGACAGGCGGACCGUCUCACGGCCAGAACUGUCUUGCUGGAUCUCUCGUCAUUGUGAUAUGUUAGUUCAGCAGAAAGGACGACCGAUCUUUACUUUGAAUAGAUUACAGUGUAUCAAACAAGCUCGACUCCUCAAUAUAUUAGCACGGACCAUCAAUCUUGACGUGCGGAUCUUCCUUGUUGAAUGCUGUCAUCGACGUAUGACUCAUANGAACAGACAGUGUCACUACUACUCACAUGCUACAAGUGCAACUCAUGGAUCUGUGAACACUAACUCUGUGCAAGCAUUAGCCNAAGAGAUCUCAUCACUCAGAUCGUAAGUCAGGCUAUCAAUACGAUAGAUACCGUGCUAUCAUACCAUAUCUAUCCAGAUAGGGACUGUUCACGUUUCUUUUGACCGAUCGCACUAUAAAGAACUCAAAUUUUGGUCCCGG
rnacentral:rRNA from 1 species